CAGCUUUAUGCCAUUGUGUUGAGAUCCUUUGUGUAUUUCAAGUUGGAUUCUUGAAGGUUGAAGACAGUGUGUCUUCCCCAGACUCUGGGCGGGGGUGGUGGUGGCUUGGUGACGGCCAUCGGGGAUCAGUGAUAUCUAGAACUUCAGUGCGCUUUUUUGUGGCUGGCGGCGAAGAGAAAACUGGGUGUUUAUCUCAUUUCAAAACGGGGCCCUGCGUUUUGGCUCUCUUCCAAGGCUUCUUGACUAUCCUUCGUAAUAUAGGGCAGCAUUAUGGCGCGUGUUUGCCUGCUGGUUGCACGGGCUGCGUUUAGGUGUUGCGUGGGGGCGACCGGCAACGAUGAACGCGCUUGCGCCAUCCAUGUGAUAGGCGGAGCGUCAGCGUGACUCGAACGCAUCUCACCCCUGCCCCGGCUGCCCACUGGCGUGGGAACGCUGGGUGUCACUGUGACGGGACGCACCGGGUGGCGGCCGGCAUAAUGUGAGCUUGUAUGGGGCGACCUGCGAAGCAAGAGUGGCUGGGCGGAGUUCGAGGCAGGCGCCGUGAUCAGGUGACUGAGUCGACGUUGGUGCAACGCGUGUCUACCGCUGCUUCGCACGACGCGGCGGGGGCCUGUGACAGGCCGGGGUAGCGGGGAACUCGACUCAUGUUGUAUUGCAGAAUGAGCAUGCUUAAAGCAAAGAGAGAAGGUGUUGUACAUGGGAGGUUGAAGGGUUUUGACAGCGGCGCUGAAAGCGUGUGUGCUGGAAUGCUUUGCGUGUGAGGUUUCGCGUGCCCUGGGAGCCUGUGGACAGUUCCGGAUACUGCUCCCGCACUGCAAGGGUGAGGAAAAGUGAUUGUCGUAAGAAGAAAAUGUUAGGCUGAAGUGUAGUGCUUGACACGUUUAUCGGGGUACUUACGAAGUUCUAGGCAGAGAGAGUGAUUCGAGUUCAUCGAGGUAGGAUGCCGGCCGAGGCGUAGUCUCGGCAUUUGCUGUGAGGUACCUUUUGACGGGCUACUGGCGAACAGGUGAGCAAGUGCUCAGCUAAUGAGUAUAGCGAGUAACCCUUGCGCAGCGUCUUCCUGGUAUGGAAGCGAAAACUUUUCUAUGUGGGUACUUUUGGCACGUGAGUGAUAUGUGCUUGAGUUUAAUAGCAGCGGAUCGGAACCAAGUACAAAACCCAGGAAGGUGUUCCCCGUAUAGCAAUCACGCGCUACAGCAGCUGCAGCAGCUCUGUCUGCGUUGCGUGAGAAAGACACGCCUACCUAUGGUCUCUCGCGGUCUUUUCUUCUUGAUACAGUAGCUACUUAUUACACACGUUUUGUUCCCUUUUCUUUAUUGCAUCUACCACAG
rnacentral:misc_RNA from 1 species